GCCCGCCUGGCGCAAUGGUGGCGCGCCAGACUUCUACGUUGUUACGUAACGUUACCAUGUAAUGUAACGUAACCUAAUUUUCGGGAUCUGGAGGCUGCGGGUUCGAGUCCCGCGGUGGGUU